UCUGAACCUCCUUCCACCCCAAAAACCCUAAAGGCCCCCUCAUUCAGUCUCUCAUCUCUCUCACUCUAACUAACCCUAGCCGCCCCAAACCCUUCAUUGUCUCCGCCGUCCUCCGCCGUUCAGAAAUCGCCUCACAGUGGAAGACCACCUCCAAUCCCACCCAAAUUCACACCAGACAACCAUCACAAUUUCCUCAUCUCGUAUCUACCAUCGAUUUCCCUAAAAUACCCACCCAUCUUCUCCAAUUUCAGAUAUAAAAAUAUAGAAAAACCUAAUCUUUCCUUCUUCUGAUUUCAUUGGCGGUACCAACUCGUUUUGGCCUAAAACGUAUGUUAAUCGAUUUCUCUUGUCAAGAGCAAUCGAUUAACAUUAGUUUCGGCUCAUUUCAAAGUCGUCAAAAUUUUACCAAAUCACCACUGACCGGCCAAACUUCGUCGUCAUCACCGUUCGUUGGCUUACCUCAUUCAUCAUCACGUUCUCGGCCAAAAUCAGUAUACCUUUCUCCUCAUAACACUUUGUUUCUUUUUCUAUUUUUGAAUUGUCAUUUAGGUGUUAAUCUUGAUUAGUUUGGUUAUUGAUUCGUUUAAUUUUAGUAGAAAUAGGUUUAUUUAGUUAAUUGCAUUGUUUAGUUUAAUUACAUGUGUUUAGGCUAAUUAAAUCAACUUUAGUCAACUCAGUAGAUUAGUUAGGUUUUAAUUAAUGGAUUGUUUCUGUUUUGGUUUAUCUCUGAUUUUUACCUUAAUUAUUUGAGUUUAGAGGUUUGAAUGCCAAUUGGAAAUUAGGAGGGUGAACGGGUAAUAAACAGAACUUGAAGGGGUUAAUUUGGAAGAAAAAAUGGAUACACUUUAGGUAAAAAUAUUAGAAAGUUCUAGUAUUGGACAGUUGUCCCUCUUUUUGGCGUGAAAAUGCUGAAAUUGGGUAAAAGGACAUACAACUGUACCAAAUCUACUAAAAAAAGAUGUUGUACUAUCCUAUUUUACAACUGACAUUUUCUGAUUUUUAGGGUAGAAUAUUCCCUAUUAUGCUUAUCUUUGUGCAUUGUAUAUACAGAACAGACUCUCACUCACUCAUAAAGACAUUCUAAUCAGCACACUCACUCUAAAAAGCAUCCUUGAAUACUGAUUUUUGAUUUGUCUCUUCAGUUUUUCUUUUAGUGGGAUAUAGAAACGGAAAAACCAAAAAAACAAUUCUCAAGGUUGUAUGUCUUUUCCUGCUGAUUCACUCCAUUAUGCUGGGAAUUUGUGUUUGAUUGUGGGUUCCUGUUUCUUGCUGGUUGUUGUUGUUUUUUUCUGCUAUUCUUUGCUAUUUGCUUCUUUUUCAAAGCUAGAGAUUUGUUUUCUAUUCUAGUCUAUCUUGCUAUAAUCAGGUACUCAUCUUAAAUCUAAGUUUCUGUUUUGGCAUGAAUGAGUUGAUUUCUUUAUUUGUUCCAUUAAAUCCUGAUCCUCCAUCAUCACUUGCUGAUUUUCCUUAUGUUUAGCAUGUUAAUCAAUAGAUCUUAUUUCAGUUAAACUCAUGAGUGUUGCUCUGUUUAUUUGGUGUGAAAAAUGGAAAAAAGCAUGACUCCAUUACUCUACUAUUUGAUUACUUGAAUUGAUAUGUUUAUUUUUGUAACUUUGAGUAUAUUUCUGAGUUAAAUGUCAUGUUGUGAAUUAGUUGAUUAUAACAUGGGAGCUGAUCUAGAUUGUUUAACUCUAAACAUUAGCUUAAAUAGCCUUUAAUAAUAUCUGAAGCAUGUAAUAUCAAUUAUUAAUUUUUUUAAGUUUGAAUACUGUUUCAGCCCUGUUUUAGACCAUGCAGAUUCAGUUCAAAAGAGUUUUUACUGUAGUGUUGGUUUAUGUGGAUUUGUGUUGGAGUUUGGAAUGUAAAAGAGAUGGUUUGUCACUGGAUAUGUGGCUAUGGCUUGCUAAUCUUACCACCAGUUGGGUCAGAUUGGUGAACUCUAAAGCUAAAGGAUGCAUUUGGAGUCAUCUAUGGAGGGAGAUUAAGUAGAAGAUUGACUAUUCUAUGAACCAUUCUUGUAUAAAUUUUAAAGUUAUAUUUGUUACUGUAUUACCAGAUCUGUAAAUAUUAGAAUAUAGUUGAUUUGUUAUGUUAACUCAAAGGGGUCAGUUUGUCCAUUUUCACUAGUUUUUGGCAAAUUUAAUUCUGAAAGUUUGAAUGAGUUACUACCAAUUUUGUUUUCCUCUCUCGUCGUUUUAAUCCAUCGUUGGUUUGAAGGAGAAUACCAAUGUUUAGUUAGUUUAAGAAUUGAAAUAUUUAAUGAAUUCACAUUUUUGUUUAAGUUAUUCGAAUAUUCAUGUAUCAUGUCAUUAUUGAGCUGGUAAUUCUUUAAUUGCGGUAGAUAAUUUAUGGGUGUUAGAUCUUAAUUAGCUAUUUAGGAUUAAUGUAAACAUAGGAAUUAUUAUUUUGGCCAUGGAGCUUUAAAAUUGAUACGGGCCCUGGUAGUUGUUUAAGUAGAAUAUUUUUGGGCCGCUAAUUCCUUUAACUCUUGGCCUUGAUCUCAAACCUUAGGAAACAUUAACUUAUAAACACGUGUAGAAUGAUUUAGGCGCAUAUAAAUAAAUCAUCACAACUACGGGUAUGGUUCCCGUAACAUAGUUGUGAUACAUAAUUCUCAAAUAUGGGUGCACAUUUCAUGUGACCCGACCACAACUUCGAACAAUAAUAAAAUUCACAUGUUGUAGAUCGUGGGUACGAUUCCUGUGACACGAUUCACAACGUGUACAAAAACAAAUAAGUGUACGACAAUCGUAACUUGUUCCAGAAAUAAUUCCAUAAAUAAAUAAAAGCGGUUAUUAAGUUAAAAAUACACAAUAGGUUUAAACCUCGUAGUAAAUCAGAUAAUUAGGCCAAUUAUUAAUAGUUGAAUGACCAUGCUAAAACCACGGAACUCGAAAGUUCCUCACACCUUCUCCCGGGUUAACAGAAUUCUUUACCCGGUCAUCUGUGUUCGCAGACCAUAAAUAUAGUCAAACUUUCCUCGAUUUGGGAUUUAAAAUAAACCGGUAACUAGGGACACCAUAUAAUUAUGUCAAGUGGCGAAUCUAAAAUUAAAUAAAAUAAUCUCAUUUCGAUUAAUGUCACUUAAAUUUGAAAAACUCCCUAUAUUCCCUUUUGGGUAAAACGGAGGUGUGACAACUCUUGCGACUCUGCUGGGGAACGAACCCAGAAUCUCUAGUUCAGGGUUGAAGUAUUCGAGCUUAGAAUAACUGUUAUACUUGGCUUUUAUUUAUUAUCUGAUUCUUAUUACACGUUAGAUCCUAAUGUGCUAAAUGCCGCUUUUUAACUCUUUGAUAUUGUUUGAACUGUAUAUAAACUGUUACGAAACCCUUCUUCUCUUUGAGUCUUCUAAAUCUUCUGGGAAGUGCACGCUGGCGUAACUUCUUUUCUGUUAAAGUCAUACACCAAUUUAGAAUGUGGUUCAGAUCAGUUACAAAGUCGGAUAGCCUUUUGGUUACCGGUACGUUGCCCCCCUCGGCUCGAGUUAUCCGCUGGGGGUAAGCUAGGUCUAGAACAAUACACCCAAGUUUUAGACCUAGAAUAACAUAGCCUCAUGCCGGAUCCUGUAACGACCCGGCCUGUCGUUUUGAGAGUUAUAGCCCCAUUUCCCCCAUCUAUGCUUCUUUAUGUAUUGUUUAGUUGUGUUGAGUUGUAUCGAGUUGGUAGGUUUGGGUUCAGAGUAGUUCUGGAGUGAAAUGAACACUUAGUCUCUUAGUUAGAAAGCUAAGUUUGAAAAGUCAAUCGGAAAUUGACUUAUGAGUAAACGAAUUCAGAUUUGAAUUUUUAUGAUUCGAUUAGCUUCGUUGGGUGACUUUAGACUUAGGAGUGUAUCCGGAAUAUAAUUUGGAGGCCUGUGGUAGAAUUAGGCUUGAAUUGGCGAAAGUUGGGAGUUUAGAAGUUCGGAGUAUAGAAGUUCUUAGGCUUGAAUUCAAGAUUGAUUUGGUGUUUUGGUGUUGUUUUGGGUAUUCUGGAGGUUUGACUAAGUUAGGGUAUUGAUAUAUGACUUGUCAAAAUAUUUGGUUGAGGUCCCGAGGACCUCGGGUGAGUUUUGAAUAGGUUUGAGUUGUGUUGCGCUCGUAUUUCUUAUAAAUGAUAUCAUAUUGAACAAAUGAGCUCUGAUUUUAUUUUUUUAUUGAAGCAUUAGAUCCGUAUUGUAAUUACGGACCCGUAAAAAAAGAAUGAUCUCAUUGGGACAUCGUAUGAGGAUUUUAGGGUCAUUUUACCAAGAAUUAGGUUGCCAAAUUUUUAAGAUUAAUUACGAAAUUGCCAAUAGCAGCGUAUUUAAAAAUCUGCAUUAUUUGCAAAUAUUAAAACCUACAUAUCUCAUUCAUUAUAAGAUCAGAUUAAGUGAUUCAAAAGCCUAACUUGACUAGAAUUUCACAAAAAAUCUAUUAGAGGCAUAAAAUACGAGUUUCAGGAUCGUUCGGUAUGAGAAAUGAGGCAGAAUAGCUGGCAGAAAAAUAUAUAAAACUAGGGUUUGUUCAUUCGGUCAUAUUUUAGUUGGGGAGCUCGGAUUUGGGCAAUAAUUUAGGUGAUUUUCACCAUAUGGAUUGGGGUAAAUAUUAUCUACUCAGUUUUGGUUAUAUUUGAUGAAUUGAUCAUCGUUUUUGGGAUUUGAUUGAUAAUUUCAAAGUGAAAUUGAGGGAGUUAGAGUUAGAGUUUUAGAGAGUUUUAAGUGAGGAUUUGAGGGAUCAAACGGAGUCCGAUUUUGAUAAAUUUUAUAUGGUUAGAAUCGGGAGAGAAUGAGGUUUAUGAUUCUGCCAUUUUUAACUGAUUUCGAGACAUGGACUCGGGGGCCGGAUUUUGGCCAUUUUCGGAUUUUUGGCAUAUUUUGUAGUUUUUAUUGUGGAAUUCGAUUCUUUAGCACAUGGUGAUAGUAUUAAUCUAAUUAUGGUUAGAUUCGGAGAUUUUGGAGACCGAGUCCAGAGACGAAGGCAUUCCGGAGUAGGAUUUUAUGCGGUUGAGGUAAGUAAUAGUUUUAACUCUGGCUUUGAGGGUAUAAACACGGAGAAUUUGAUAUCAUGUGAUUGUUUGGAGGUGAUAUCCACGCUAGGUGAAGAGCGUGUGGGUGUAUACUUGGAGGGAUUGAGACUUGGUCUGUCCCGUGAGGUUGCGAGGCCUAAUAGCUAUUAUUUGUGGUUAUGUGUUUACUUGUUGUUGAACUUGUUUGCCUUCAUGUUAGAGAUCAUGCUUAGGCUUUAUUCAUUCUCACAUUAUUUGCACUCAGUCAUAAAAAUUAUUGUACAUGUUUACCUCAGUCUCUAUUAUUUGCUAAUAUGUUGUGAUACUUGAUGUGAGUUGUGUUCCCUUAUUUGUUGAUGAUGGCGAGGUUAGUGAGGUACAUGACUGAGUGAGGCCGAGGGCCUGGUUGUGAGGAUAUUAAUGCCAUAGCGCGUGAGUUGUCCGCGUAGCACGUGUGUUGACCAUGCGGGCCCAGGUAUUUAUACCAUAGCGCAUGAGUUGUCCUUGCGGAUCUAGGUAUUGAUCUGAUGGCCCGGUUGUAAGGAUAUUAAUACCAUAGCGUGUGAGUUAUCCGCGUAGCACGUGAGUUGACUGUGCGGGUUCAGGUAUUUAUGCCAUAGCGCAUGAGUUGUCCGCGUUGCACGUGAGUUGACCGUGCGGAUGCAGGUAUUGAUAUGGUAGCACGUGAGUUGUCCGUUCUUAGCGCUUGGGCUUUGGGAGCCCCUCCUGAGUUUGUACACACUCCCAGUGAGCGCAGUGUGUUGAGUGUAUUAAGUGUUGAGUGUUGAGUGCUGAGUGCGAAUGUUGAGUGAUGGAGUGACAUUGCUGUGAAGUUGCAUUUACUUUUGCUGUUGCUGCAUUUAUCUGUUAGAUUUUUUUUUGGUAUUUACUGAGUUAUGGAAUUUACCUGUUUAUUCAUGUCUAUUUUUUUAAAAUUGUGAAAAUAAAUAAUUGGUCUGUUUUACUUAGCUUGUCACUACUGCUUAGUUCCUUAGUUAUUUUUAUUACUAUUGAGGUGGUUGUACUCAUACUAUACCAUGCACUUUAUGUGCAGAUCCAGGUGAGUUAGAGCGUGGCGAUCGUUGAGUUCAGGUCGGCUAUCUGUGGAGAUUGCAUGGUAGCUGCUAGUGUCCGCAGGACCUUGUUAUUCCUCUUGUCAUUUCUUCUUUUGGACAGUUAGACAGUUUACAUAUCUUAGUUUAUAGUUUUACACGCUCAUGACUUAGUGACACCCCGAUGUUUUGGACUCGUUUCAGUAUUUUUCUAUAUUAUAUUUAGAGUUGAUUUAGUUUGUGAAAAAUUUAAAUGUUGAAAUAAUUUAUUAAUUUCGUAUAAUCGGUUUAGUAGUAAUAUUUUAGGAAAUAGGCUUGCCUUGUAAUACGAUAGGCGCCAUCACGACCAUGGUUAGAGUUUGGGUCUUGACAAGUUGGUAUCAGAGACUAGGUUACAUAGUAUCAAAAGUCAUGAGCGGGUUUAGUAGAGACUUGCAGAUCGGUAUGGAGACGUCUGUAUUUAUCUUCGAGAUGCUACAGAACCUUUAGGAAAACUUCACCUUCUUGAUUUUUUAUAGUGCGAUAUUGAUUUAGCUUGAAGUGUAACUCUUUAAAUUCCUUUCAAACAUUCGUAUGAGCACAUGAGUGCUCUGUAUUAGUUAUGAAUUGACGGAUUGUGAUUCCCUAGAUGAGGUACGAGAUAUGAUUUCUGUGUGCUUUGAUGUUGGGCAAGUCUGGAGGAUCUAAGGUAGGUUUUGACCGUAGAUUUAGCACUAAGGUGUUGAUUGUGUGAGCGCGUGCUUGUGGACUUAUAUGUUCGGUAGUGUCCCUAUUUUAUGAAAAUAGUGGCUGGAUGGAGACGUGAUGAGUAUGGCGUGACCGUGAGAUUGAAUGUGACGAGAAGGUAUUGCUGAAGGUUUCACCUAUAUGAGACUCCAGGUAUGUUUUUAGACUCGCUCGAGUACGAACGUUUGUUUAAGAGGGGGAGGAUGUAACAACCUGGCUUGUCAUUUUGAGAGUUAUAGCCCCAUUUCUCCCAUCUAUGUUUCUUUAUGUAUUGUUCAGCUAUGUUGAGUGUUCCUCCCCCAAAUCAUCAAUCAAAUCCCAAAAACGCUAAUGGAUUCAUGAAAUAUAACUAAAACCGAGUAGAGAUAUAUGACUUGUUAAAUUUUUUNNNNNNNNNNNNNNNNNNNNNNNNNNNNNNNNNNNNNNNNNNNNNNNNNNNNNNNNNNNNNNNNNNNNNNNNNNNNNNNNNNNNNNNNNNNNNNNNNNNNNNNNNNNNNNNNNNNNNNNNNNNNNNNNNNNNNNNNNNNNNNNNNNNNNNNNNNNNNNNNNNNNNNNNNNNNNNNNNNNNNNNNNNNNNNNNNNNNNNNNNNNNNNNNNNNNNNNNNNNNNNNNNNNNNNNNNNNNNNNNNNNNNNNNNNNNNNNNNNNNNNNNNNNNNNNNNNNNNNNNNNNNNNNNNNNNNNNNNNNNNNNNNNNNNNNNNNNNNNNNNNNNNNNNNNNNNNNNNNNNNNNNNNNNNNNNNNNNNNNNNNNNNNNNNNNNNNNNNNNNNNNNNNNNNNNNNNNNNNNNNNNNNNNNNNNNNNNNNNNNNNNNNNNNNNNNNNNNNNNNNNNNNNNNNNNNNNNNNNNNNNNNNNNNNNNNNNNNNNNNNNNNNNNNNNNNNNNNNNNNNNNNNNNNNNNNNNNNNNNNNNNNNNNNNNNNNNNNNNNNNNNNNNNNNNNNNNNNNNNNNNNNNNNNNNNNNNNNNNNNNNNNNNNNNNNNNNNNNNNNNNNNNNNNNNNNNNNNNNNNNNNNNNNNNNNNNNNNNNNNNNNNNNNNNNNNNNNNNNNAGUGAGGCCGAGGGCCUGGUUGUGAGGAUAUUAAUAUCAUAGCUCGUGAGUUGUCUGCGUAGUACAUGAGUUGACCGUGCAGGUCCAGGUAUUUAUACCAUAGCGCGUGAGGUGUCCUGUAGCACGUGAGUUGACCGUGCGGAUCCAGGUAUUGAUAUGAUGGCCAGGUUGUGAGGAUAUUAAUACCAUAGCACGUGAGUUGUCCGCGAAGCAUGUGAGUUGACCGUGCGGGUCCAGGUAUUUAUACCAUAGCACGUGAGUUGUCCACGUAGCACAUGAGUUGACCGUGCGGAUCCAGGUAUUGAUAUGGUAGCACGUGAGUUAUCUGUGCUUAGCGCUUGCGCUUUGGGAGCCGCUCCGGAGUCUGUACACACUCCCAAUGAGCACAAAGUGUGAGUGUAUUGAGUGUUGAGUGCGAAUGCUGAGUGAUGGAGUGACAUUACUUUAAAGUUGCAUUUACUUUUGCUGUUGUUGCAUUUAUCUGUUAAAUUUCUUUGUGGUAUUUACUGAGUUAUGGAAUUUACCUAUUUAUUCAUGUUUAUUUUUAAAAAAUUGUAAAAAUAAAUAAUUGGACUAUUUUACUUAGCUCGUCACUACUGCUCGAUUCCUUAGUUAUUUCAGUUACUACUGAUUUGGUUGUAGUUAUACUACACCAUGCACUUUAUGUGCAAAUUCAGGUGAGUUAGAGCGCGGCGAUCGUUGAGUUCAGGCCGCUAUUUGUGGAGAUUGCAAGGUAGCUGCUAGUGUCCGCAAGACCUUGUUACUCCUGAUCUUGUCAUUUCUUCUUUUGGAUGGAUAGAUAGUUUAUAUAUCUUAGUUUAUUAUUUUAGACGCUCAUGACUUAGUGACACCCCGAUGUUUGGGGCUCGUUUCCGUAUUUUUCUAUAUUAUAUUUAGAGUUGAUUUAGUUUAUGAAAAUUUUAAAUGUUGAAAUAUUUUAUUAAUUUCGUAUAAUCGGUUUAGUAGUAAUAUUUUAGGAAAUAGGCUUGCUUUGUACCACGAUAGGCGCCAUCACGACUAUGUUUAGAGUUUGUGUCGUGACAGAUCCCCAGUAGGAAUGCUUGUUUGCAUCAUGUGCAUUUGACUUUGGGGAUUCAACACAGGGGUUGGGUCUGUCUUGGACAAGUGUACCCAAAAAUCAAAAGAUCAUCCUGAUGCAUUUUUACGUGCUACGUACAUUUAUUUGCUUCGGUUUGCAUGCUAACCGGUUUCUAGAAUAGGGAAAAAAAGUCAAGAAAAACCAAAAUUGAGGUGAGAGAGAGAGAGAGAAAAUCACCCGUUUCUGAAAAAAACCUGGUGAUCAAAAUAUCUCGAAACUCUGCCAAAAUUUUGAAAAAAAAAAGAAAGAGAAAAGAAGAGAAAAGUCAUUUCAAAUUAAGUCAUGCUUUCCUUUUACAACAAAUUGACCGAACUACGCGGGUUUGAUUCUCACCGGAUGUGAGAUACGUAGGAAACCCUCAUCGGGUCCAGACCCACUUUUGCAAAAAUAACAAAAAAUAUGAAAUGUUAUCAUUUUUGUCAUAAAUAAAGUUAGGUGAUGCCGUUUUUAUCCAAAUAGCCAGAAACGUCCCGACGGGACACCGAAAGGCCGUUUUUGCAAGAAUAGCCACCAACGGUCCCUUUAUCAAUUUUUGGCCACCUAGCAAACACAGCCCUAAAAUUUUCCAUUCUGAAGUGUUGAAGGGUCGUAUUUGCAAAAGUAGCCAUGAUUUGUUUUAAUUUGAAUUAUUGCAAAAAAUAACCUUUUGAUCAGUUUUAUUUUCUUUUUAAAACAAAACAAAAGCUCACAUGUUUUAACCCAAUCACCCUAAUCUAAAUGUGCAGAAUGAGCACGAUUCAGAAUUUACCUGUGAAGGUUAUGACUGAGAUUCCAUUGGCACUCCACAUGUGGUGGGAGGAUUUGGGAAAAUAGGGGCGAGACAAGGUCAACCACUACCUGGGGGCACUCACUGGAUUAUUGAAGAUUAAGCCUAGGAGUGAUGUAAUAGAGGCAUUAGUAACAUUCUAGGACCCUGCUCACAACGUUCUGCAUUUCUCAGAUUUUGAGCUUACACUUACCUUGGAGGAAAUGGGGGGUUAUGUUGGGAGUACAGAGGGUUUAAGAUACAAAUACUUGAUAACUACAAGGGCCAUUACUCCCACAAGUUUCUAGACUUAUUGAAAAUAAGCAGGCAGAUCUAGAAUGCAGAUGUGGCAGAGGGAUUUUCCACUUUACACUUUUUAUUCCAGUGAUAUGGGCAUUUAAGAGGAUUGGAGGACCUAGAAGGUGGACUUUGCAGUAACGAAAACCGAUCAAAGUGGGAAAUACAUAGAUGCUUUGCUUUCAUGGUGGCAUUUCUAGUCCUCUUAGUGCUUCCAAGGUACGAUAUGAAUAUUGAUCUGCGUGUAGCUAGAGUCGUCUAUGUUUUGACUAUUAAUACCAAAAGCACCCUCACACCCAUGAUCGUAUCAGAAAUAUUCUGAGCUCUCACAGCCUAUAAGGCCAAAAUAAUAUUUUUUGAGGGGUGCAAUCUGUUAUUGCAAAUGUGGAUGAUUGAACACCUUUGUCACUGUCCCCAAUACAUGAACUGCGGAUCUACGAGACAAACCUACAUCGAGGAGUUUGGUACAUGGGUGACUGGAUUUGAAAUGCCAGAAGGGGUCAAAGAUUGGAUAUCCCACCUUCGUUCAAUAAUUGCGGAUCAGAUAGAGUGGAUACUGGUUGGCUUCCGGUUGAUGAGAUUGUAUAUAUGCCUGCCACCAGUCCCUACUUCCUGCUAAUGGGUCUCCGAAGCAUCCAACCCCAUGCCUCAUACUGGGUUUUGAGUCAACUUAGAAGAUGUCAGAUAGUUCCCAAAAAUGAAGAUCUUAGUAUUCACGUAGUUGAUAUCUGCUUCGAGGCUCAAUUUCCUGAAGAAGUGGUUCGCCGAAUUUGGAGCAAAUACCAGUAUUUGGCGGCAAAAAUCUGAGUGCGUGAUUUAUCCAGGGGUGAGCUUUCGCCUGGUUAUCUUGCUUGGUAUGGGAAGAGAGUCACGGCAAAUGAUGAAUCUCAAAGACCAACCAAAAGGCCCCACAUCCAAGAAUUCGUUGACGCAUCACAAGAACAUUAGGCUUUGUUAACCAAAGAGAAUGACUAUAGGGCUACUAUAAGCAAAUUAGAAGGGAAAAUCAGAAACAUUAAAUGUGAUAGUGGUUUGCAAGCCACUGUGGCUGAAGGAGAGAAGAAAAGUUUGGCCUGAUAAAAAUGAAGUCCUCCGAGCUCAGAUUCAGAGGAUAAAAAUGACUGGUGAAAACCUUGGAAGAAGCAAGACAGAUGAAAAACUCAUAAACGGUUAGGCGAAAAGUGUGUGAUUAUAGGGGUGGUUUGGAAAAGGCCGAAGAUGAAUUGGCAAAAGCCCAGACGAAGUUGGAAAAGAAUGCAGAAGAAUGGGCGAGGUUUGUUUAGUAGUUAAAGGAAAAGUACGACAAAGGAGUCACGAGUUUAAAAAAAAACUGACUACUCUUGAAAAUGAAAUGGCCCAGCAAACAAAGAACUUCAAAGCGGAAAGAGCAUUGAUAUGCAUUGAUGUCUCGAUUGGAAGAGGACAUGCAGCAAUUGCAAGAGCAAAACCAUAUGGCCAUAUCGGUUUUGGAGGCCAUGUCUCAGCAUAUUGGACGCCUACUCCAAUAGAAGAGCGUCAUUAGAGAAAGGAUUAAAGGAAUUGAUGAUUAUGUCGUAAUGAAAUGCCAUGAAUGCCAGGAUAUGACCAGGUCCAUAUUCUUUGCCGCUGGGAUGACUUUUGUCUGUUAGAUAAUGGACGACCUAGAUCGUCUCCAAGAAGAUAUCACACACAGGCUCGCGUCGAGACCGACUGAUGUCCUGCGGGCCCUGGGGUAGUGUUAGAGGCUCUUAUGUAUUGCUGAUUUUCUUUUUUGAGUCUGUAUUUCACUUUUUUGACUCUGUUUUAUUUUUUAGUUCUUAAGUCUGUAUGUCAGAGUCUUUCUAAUAGAGAAAAACAAAAAGGUUUUAUUUAAUGAAAUAUUGAAAACGCAAAAAAAUUCUUUCUUUUAUUUUGCAUUUAUCCCUCCACUAUGUAAUGAUCUGAUUCAUGCAGCGUCGUGAUACGUAAGAAAUUCCCAUCAAAUCUGAUCAUAGCUAUAGACAACUUGAGUGAGAAUAAAAAAACAAAAGAAAAAGAAGGGGAAAUAAAAGAGCACAAAGAAACAAAAGAUUCAGAUUUGGAAGUUGAUAAAAGAAGAGCCGGGAUGAGACACGCAGCCGUUGCAAAAACAUUUAGAAAAAACGUUUAACUAUAUAGGUGCAUUGCAUUACCCAACGUGCGAUUCCCUAAGUGUUAAAAAUCUCAAGUUAACUGAUUUGUUGUGUAUGCUGUUUAAGAACAAGUUCUGUUUUUAGGUGGUUGGUUUUGUAGUAACCUGGCUUCACACCCUUAUUUCACAAGAUCUAAAGGGAGUGUCGCAAUGACAUCAGUGAGUCAUCUACCAAUCAUUAACCCCUCAGAGGAUAGCCCGACAUCGGUUAUCCUGGCCUAAGAGUCAGCAACUGCUGAAGAAAAUAGAAUAUUGCGUCUCUGCAUGUUGGAGAUGUGGGACACUUGGUCUAAUGAUAGAGAACCGCCCAGUUCAAUCUCUGGAUUUCCCGAAUAGAUUCCCAGAACAAGUGGAACCUCCAACGUCCCUAUUCCUGUAACCAACCCGUUCAUCGCGUUCGGGUACCCCACUAUGUCAGCUAAUUUCACCGGUACGCCUUCUGAUGAUCUCCCCCAAGCACCAUUUUCGGGAGUAUCUUCUACAAUAUUUACACUACCAGUCUCUACUACGGCACAACCAAUAGUGCCUAUGCCAUGUUUCGUACCGUCAGCCUUCACUUUCCAAGUACCACAAUUUCAACUAGACACGGCUCAUGUCACCCCAAACUCCUACCCUCAGCACCCCCGAUAUGAGUCUCCCAUAGAACAGGAAAGAACUGUGAAGAACCCCGAGCAAGAAGAGAUAACUCGAAAGAUGAAAAGCAUCGAACAAAGUCUUAAGAACAUGCAAGGCCUAAGUGGCCAAAAAUGUGUCUCGUAUGUUGAUCUGUGCAUGUUUCCUCGCGUUCAUCUGCUUGUUGGCUUUAAAAUGCCAAAAUUCGAAAGAUAUGAUGAGCAUGGAGACCCGAUCACCCAUUUGAAAAGAUAUUGCGAUCAGCUGAGAGGGGCGGGCAGAAAGAAAGAACUUUUGAUGGCCUAUUUCGAGGAGAGCUUAACCGGAAUUGCGUUAGAGUCAUAUAUGGAACAAGAUAUCUCCCAUUGGCACAUGUGGGAUGAUAUGGCCCGGGAUUUUGUCAGACAGUUCCAGUACAAUGUGGACAUAGCUCCGAACAAUUUUUUUUUGUCCAACCUCAAAAAGAAAUCUUCAGAAAGCUUCCGAGAAUAUGCUAUCAAAUGGCGUGAACAAGUGGCCAGGGUGAACCCCCCCCCCCCCCCAAUGGAUGAGGCCAAGAUGGUCAGUGUCUUCUUAUUGGCCCAAGAGGCCAAUUAUUUCCAAAACAUGAUGUCUGCCAUGGGCAAACCAUUUGCAGAGGCCAUAAAGAUUCGAGAAAUGGUAGAAAAUGGCUUGAAAACAGGUCCCAUCAUGAGUUAAUCAGCUAUAAGAGCCACUUCCCAAGCCAUCCAGAGCGGUUUGGGAGGUUUAGCAAACCGGAAAAAGAAAGAAGAGGGGGCCAUGGUGGCUUCAAGGUUGAGGAAUUCUCGCCAAUCCCGAGGUUACUUUGGUUCCUCUCCCAAGCCUCCGCAACAUUACUGCCCCCACCAGGAUGCACCAUAUGCUAUGGCUCCUCGUCCUUAUGAAGUAAUGAACGCCCACCCAUACACUCGCCCACAACAAUAUUACAAUCUGAACCGAGCUCCACCUCCAAGAAAAAACCCUCCUCGCCAAGCCUCAUAUAAUUCAUGUCCACCACAUAAUAAUUACCAAUAUAACACCUGUCCCCGUGAACCACCGAGAAAAGCUAACUUCACGCCCAUUGGUGAGUCAUAUUCUAGCCUCUUCCCAAAAUUAGUCCAAAUGGGCCUGUUACAGCCUGUACCUCCAAACAGGCAGAACAUAAAAUCUCCAUCCUACCGUCUAGGUACCAGGUGCGCUUAUCACUCAGGAGAGGAAGGGCAUGACACUGAAGAUUGUUGGACCAUUAAGAGAGCAGUCGAGAAUAUGAUAGAACGGAAGCGGGUAGUGUUGCGGGACAAGAAAGCCCCCAAUGCAACUAACAACCCAUUGUCGACUCACAAUAAGGGGCCGAUCAUUGGGAUGAUCUGUGAGGACAAAGAAUUUGACAGAUCUUUGAAAGCUAUUAUUGCUAUAUGUCGACUCGGAAAACAAACUCAAACUGGUGGCAAAACAAGCUAGAGAUGAGAAGAAGAUCAAUUCCACUCCCCAAAAUGCAUAAAAGGCUGUGGAAACAAAGUCAGGGGUAACACCUUCGAAAGAUGUCAUUCUCUAUGUUCCCAGGGCCCCCAGAAAGGAACGAUUCAUAUUGAACCCUCCCAAAAGACUUGAGCAAAACAAAGUCACGCUGAAUGCAUCAAAGCUAUACGUGCCAAAGGGGAUUUAUGUGGUGUAGGGACUGAUAACUUCACCAAGGCUGACUGAGCCCGUGGUUAUCAACAGCACACUUGAGAGUCCCAUGAAAGACCCCAUUGUCGUACCUUGGAACUACAAUAAGGCAGUGGUCACAUACAAAGGAAAGGAAAUCAUGGGAGAAGUAAAUGAAAUGAACCAAUCUAGGAAGUAUCUCAACCUAGAAGAAUUGAACAAAACAAAGCAGAAACGAUUUCCAAUUAAGAAGCCGGUUAGUGCUGAAGAAGCGGAGGAAUUUUUCCGAAAUAUGAAAACCUCGUAGUUUUCUAUAAUUGAUCAACUUAGAAAGACUCCCCCCUUAGGUCUCACUUUUGUCCCUGUUGAUAGGCUCAAAUGAACAUCAGAAAGUGCUGAUAAAGACGCUAAAUGAGGCGUAUGUUCCGGUUGAGACCACGAUCGAACAGUUGGAAAGAAUGGCAGAGCAAUUUUUUGAAGUCAACCGAAUCUCCUUCAGCCGAAAUGACUUGCCUCCAGAAGGAGCCACCCACAACAAAGCCCUUCAUUUGACUGUCAAGUGUGAAGGAUGAUAUGUGGAAAGGGUUAUGUUGGACGAUGGAUCUGGAGUUGACAUUUGCCCUCUAUUAACCUUAUAAAGGAUGGAAAUUGGGAUUAAAAGGAUUAGACCCAACAAUGUUUGCAUACGUGCUUUCGACGGUGUCAGGCGGGAUAUGAUAGGGGAGACUGAUUUGGUCCUAACUAUUAGCCCUAUAGAUUUUGAAGAAACAUUUCAAGUUUUCGACAUGGACACUUCUUAUAACUUUCUCCUAGGAAAGCCAUGGAUCCAUGUCGCGGGAGGCGUGCCCUCUACUCUCCACCAAAUUGUCAAGUUCGAACAUGAAAAUCAAGAAAUAGUGGUGCACGGGGAAGAUGAACAAUCAAUCUACAGGGACUCGUCAGUCUCAUGCUUUGAGGCUAGAGAGGGUAGUGAACUCAUCGUCUACCAAGCUUUUGAGAUCGUGGUCGCAGACCAAUGCAAGGAAGGAACCCUAUGUCCUCAACCCUACUUAUCAAACGCAUCAAUCAUGGUUGCUAGUAAAAUUAUCAAACAUGGGUACAAGCCCGGGAAAGGGCUCGGGGUAUCCUUAUAAGGCAUUACAGAGCUUAUCACUUUGACUGCGAGCGAGAAGUUCUUUGGCAUAGGCUUUCAAGAUACAAAGGCCGACGUAAAUUGGGAUGAUGAACAUAAGAACAAUGGGUGGGCCUUGCCUCAGCCGGUCCCGCACCUCACCAGGAUGUUUGUUAAGCCAAGGUAUAUAGAAGAAGAAGAAGAAGAAGAAGAAGAAGAAGAAGAAGAAGAAGAAAUUGAGGAUAUUUGUGGGGCAAUGAGGCAAAUGUUGUACGAGGUUCACAUGGUCCAACUGGGUGAAGGCUCAAGCACUGCUGAGGUGCAAUAUAUGGGGCCAAAUGCUAAACUUCAAAAUUGGAAGGUUACUUCAUUCACAGUUAGGCGGGAGUCCCGGUAGUUCAGUCUUGCCAUCUUUUCUGCAUUUCGAGUUAUUUUAGGGUGUAACUCGAAGAUUUUUAGAUUAUUGUCUUUCAAAUUCUAAUGUAAACCCUCAUAUCUUCAAAUUAAAUUAAAUAAAAUCAAUAUUUCAUCGUCUAUUAAUCUCUUUCCAUUAUUUUUUCUAAUUUUUGUUAUUUUUCUUAUCUCUAUCUUUUUAGUUCUAAUAAUGUGUACUUAAAUAAUAUGACAUGCUUGCGGACUUCAUGCCCAGAUCCUAACACGCUGUCUAAUUGUGAAAUAACAAGUCAAGAACCAGAAUAUGAUAAAAAUGAGGCUUUUAGGAAAAUAAAUCAAGAACUGGAACAAUUUUAGAAUAAGCCUAAGCCAAAUUUAAAUAAAACCGAGCCAGUUAAUUUGGGUAGUUCGGAAGAGGUCCAGGAAAACAUGAUAGGCAUUCAUGCUGAUAAAAGAACUAGAGAUGCAUUGAUCCAACUCUUGUUUGAAUUCAAAGACAUGUUUGCAUGGUCCUAUAAUGAUAUGCCAGGACUGGGUGUUGAUUUGGUAGUGCACAAAUUGCCAACUUAUCCCGGUUAUCCACCUGUCUAACAAAAGCAGAGAAAGUUUAAUACAGACAUCAGUGACAAGAUCAGAAAAGAAGUCACCAAACAGUUGAAAGCUGGUGUGAUCCGAGUGGUCCGAUACACCACAUGGUUGGCUAAUGUGGUCCUAGUGCCAAAGAAAGAUGGGUAAACCCGAGUGUGUGUUGAUUAUCGGGAUUUGAACAAAGCAAGCCCCAAGGACCACUUUCCAUUACCAAACAUCCACAUUCUUGUUGACAAUUGUGCCAAACAUGAGAUACAGUUUUUCGUGGAUUGUUAUGCUAGGUAUCACCAGGUUCUGAUGGAUGAAGAAGAAGCAGAAAAUAUGGCUUUCACCACACCCUAGGCACUUACUGUUAUAGGGUCAUGUCGUUUGGUUUAAAUAACUCAUGACAAACUUACAUGAGAGCUAUGAGUGCCAUCUUUCACGGCAUGAUGCACCAGGAAAUUGAGGUAUAUGUGGACGAUGUGAUCAUUAAAUCCAGAAUGUAGGAUGACCAUGUGCAGGAUCUGAGAAAGUUUUUUGAGCAUUUGCGUAAGUAUGACUUGAAGUUGAAUCUAGCUAAAUGAGCAUUCAGAGUUCCAUCUGGGAAACAUUUAGGUAUUAUAGUCAGUCGGAGGGGCAUCGAGCUAGAUCCAACAAAAAUAAAGUCUAUUCGGGAUUUUCCCCCUCCGAGAACCAAGAAAAAGGCCAUGAGUCUACUGGGAAGAUUGAAUUACAUCAUCAGGUUCAUUGUUCAGCUGACUACCACGUGCAAGCCCAUAUUUAAGCUAUUGAAGAAAGAUGCGGCAAUUAGAUGGACGGAUGAGUGCCAAGAAGCUUUCGACAAAAUCAAAGAAUAUAUGUCGAAUCCACCAGUGUUGGUACCCGAGCCUGAGAGACCUUUGUUCUUGUACCUUAUAGUCUUGGAAAAUUCUUUUUGUUUUGUCCUGGGGCAACAUGAUGUGACCGGGAAUAGAGAUCAAGCCAUAUACUAUUUGAGCAAGAAGUUCACUAGUUAUGAAGACAAGUACACUUUGUUGGAAAGAACUUGUUGCGCCCUAACUUGGGUCGCCUAGAAGCUUAGACAUUAUUUGUCGGCCUGCACCAAAUAUCUCAUAACCAGAAUGGAUCCUUUGAAAUACAUAUUCCAAAAGCCGAUGUCCAUAUGAAGGUUAGAAAAAUGGCAAAUUCUGCUUACCGAGUUUGAGAUAGUUUAUGUCACCCGCACGGUGGUAAAAGCCCAAGCCUUGGCGGAUCACCUAGUUGAGAAUCCUGUUGAUGAUGAAUAUCAACCCUUGAGCACUUACUUUUCGGACAAGGAAGUAAAUUCAGUUGAGGUAAUUGCAGAAGACACCAAUGCCUGGAAAAUGUUCUUUAAUGGAGCUGUAAAUGCAAAAGGUAUCAGGAUUGGGGAAAAUUUUAUUUCACCCACUGGUCAACACUAUCCGGCCACAGCCAGGCUUCGUUUCUUCUAUACGAAUAACACUGCCGAGUAUGAAGCUUGCAUUAUGGGCAUGAAUAUGGCAGUUAAUCUGGAUGUGGGAGAAUUGUUAAUCAUGGGAGAUUCUGACUUGAUUAUUCGUCAAGCUCAAGGUGAUUGGGAAACUCGAGAUAUCAAGCUUAUCCCAUACAGGCAACAUAUAGAAGAUCUUAGCAAAUGGUUCAAGUCGGUCGAGUUUAGGUAUAUUCCUCAGUUUCACAAUGAGUUAGCUGAUGCACUGGCUACUUUGGCCUCAAUGUUGCCGUAUCCGGGCAAUGUCCAUAUUGACCCACUGGAAAUCCAAAAUCGAGAAAGACAUGGUUAUUGAAAUGCAUGUGAAGUAGAACCGGAUAGUCAGCCAUGGUAUCAUGAUAUCAAAAGAUUCUUGAAAACAAAGGAAUAUCCCGAGUAAGCCAAUGGAGACCAAAAGAGAACCAUUAGAAGGCUCACUAGCAAUUUCUUCUUGAGCGGAGAGGUCUUUUACAAAAGAACUCCAGAUUUGAAUAUUUUAAGGUGCGUAGAUGCCCAAGAGGCUGGAAAAAUCAUGAACAAAGUGCACUCGGGAGUAUGUGGGUCCCACAUGAAUAGAUACGUCCUUGGAAAGAAAAUCCUUCUGGCAGGUUAUUACUGGAUGACCAUGGAAAAUGAUUGCUUGAGUUUUGUCCAAAAGUGUCAUCAGUGUCAGGUACACGGUGACCUGAUUCAUGAACCGCCUUCAGAGUUGCAACCUAUGUCAGUACCUUAGCCGUUCGUUGCUUGUGGAAUGGAUGUCAUUGGGCCGAUCAAGAUGAAAGCUUCAAAUGGGCAUAGAUUCAUCUUAGUUGCCAUUUACUAUUUCACAAAGUGGGGUGAGGCAGUCACUUUCAAAGCCGUCACCAAGAAAGCGGUGGUGGACUUCGUGCAUUCCAAUAUUAUUUGUCGUUUUGGUAUUCCUAAGACUAUCAUUACAGACAAUGCUGCAAACCUGAACAGCCAUUUGGUGAGGGAGGUAUGCGAACAAUUUAAGAUCACGCAUCGGAAUUCUACCCCUUAUAGGCCCAAGGCUAAUGGUGUUGUUGGAGUGGCAAACAAUAAUAUCAAGAAGAUCCUCAGGAAAAUGAUUUAAUGUUCUAGACAAUGGCAUGAAAAGUUGCCUUUUACAUUAUUGGGAUGUUGCACAACCGUGCACACAUCAGUUGGGGCAACACCUUAUUUAUUGGUUUAUGGCACUGAAGCUCUAACACCUGCGGAAGUUGAGAUUCCCUCUCUUAGAAUCAUUGUUGAAACUGAGAUCGAGGAUAAUGAAUGGGUUAGGACCCGUUUAGAAUAAUUAACCAUUAUUGAUCAAAAGUAGAUGGUUGCAGUCUGCCACGGGCAGUUGUAUCAGCAAUGAAUGGCCUGUGCCUACAACAAGAAAGUGCAGCCUAGCAAUUGUGAAGCGUGGCAACUUGUUCUAAGAUGUAUUCUCCCGCAUCAUGAGGAAGCAAAGGGAAAGUUUGCUGCAAAUUGGAAAGGUAUGUACAUUACAAGAAAACUAUUGUCAAAAGGGGAAUUGUAUUUGGGAGACAUUGAAGGAAAUGACCGCGAAAUGGCUGUCAAUGCGGAUACGGUCAAAAGGUAUUAUGUUUAACCCCUUUUGCAGUACUAAUACUAUCUGAUUGGGAUGACGAAGGCUUUCAUUCUCGCUACCCAAACGCUGUCAACCCUUUGCAAACCCUUUGAGCCGGUUACUUUUCUUUGAUUACCCUCUUUGGAACUCGAAAAUGUUUUAAAAAAAGAGAAAACAAAAUAAAAUAGAAAAACAAAAGAAAAUAAAAAACAAAGUCCCUUGAACUAUGUUGGACUUGAUUCCAAAAGGAUAUGUAGGCAACCUCUCGUUGGGGUUCAGUUAGACAAAAAAAAAUCCAUAUUUCCCUAAAGUUGAAACUGGGCAGAAGUUAUAAUUGUUCAGCGACAGUUUCGCUUGAAAGGUUCCAAAGUUGUAAUGCAAUCCAAAUUCCUUUUACCCCCAAAUCCUCUUCAAGUCCUUCCGAUCAAUCGAUAAAGAUGUUCAAAAUUAGAGGAUAUUGUUACAUGGAUCUGAUACAAUCAAAUGAGAGAAAUAAAAUGAAAAAGUCUUAUUGUUGAAACCCACACGGGCAUCAUAGAGUGAUGGUAAGCAGAGAAAUUGAAAAUGAGAGAAUUUUUCUAGUGAAAACUUGCAAAGAGCACUAUAAGGCAACAGUGAGAAGAGAUAUGAGAGAGGUUAACAGGUGAAAACCCGCAAAGGGCGCCAUUUAUCCAAAAAGGGAUCCUCACAGCCAUCGGUAUUGAUAGAUUCCUGGGAAGGUUUCUCAGUUUUGAGGUAUGAGUUUAUGAGAGUUGAACGGUUUACGCAGAUCGGGUAUCCAGUCCAAGAGGCAUGUCAUAUUCAUUAAAGUUUGCAUGCACUCCAGAUAAGUCCUUCUUUCCUUUCUUCGAAAGGACACCUCUCGUUUAAAUUCAUUAUCCUGUCCAUUGUUUAUUUUUCUUUGAAUCCCUUUCGGUCUAAUUCUGCUAAGAAUUUAAAACAAAGAAAAUAUGACAACAUUAGUUUACAGGGUUUUGUUUGACAAAAAGCCAAUAUUCAAGAAAGUACCCAGCCUCAGUAGGUGUAUCAAGUUGACCUCAACUGGCCAUGAUGGCCGAUGCUUCAAAGUCAAAAACUCCUGAAAAGAAAGAAAAUCAAAGUCAAAUGCCCAUAAAGGCAAAAUAAGGUGGAAAAAGGCCAUGUCCCAUAGGGGUUAACCAUCAUGUGAAAGCUUCGGAUAAGUCAAGAUCCCUGGGUUUAGGAAUGAAACCAAUCCCCAGAAAGCAAGCAAGCAAUGAAGAUCUUUAUUGAAGAAGUCGGGCCAAGAUCAAGUGAUUGAAAUGCUCAAGGCUACAAAACCAACCACUGCUUCAAACUGAAAAAUUGUUCUUUGUUUGAAAAAUAGAGAAAACAUGUGCAAUUCAAAGCAGUCUUGCACGAAGCAGGUGCAACAAAAGCAAAAUUACGCAGAGAUUAGAUUGGGUCUGCAACAAUAUUCAAUCCAAAGGGGAAGUCCCCUCCAAAUUCUUUACUCGUUCUCUUAAAGAAAAAAAUGAAAAGUGAAAUGAAAAGAAAGAAAAGAAGAAAAAUUCAAAUCAUGGUAGUAUAGGAUCUCCAAUCUCUAGCUACAUUUUUCCAACAUAGGGUCGCACUCCCUAGUUGAUAUCACCAUAACCUGAUGACUUUUCCAACAUAGGGUCCUACUCCGUAGUUGAUGCCAGAAUAACCUGAUGACUUUUCCAACAUAGGGUCUCACUCCCUAGUUGAUGCCAGCAUAACCUGAUGACUUUUCCAACAUAGGGUCUCACUCCUUAGUUGAAGCCAGCAUAACCUGAUGACUUUUCGAACAUAGGGUCACACUCCUUAGUUUAUGCUAGCAUAACCCGAUGAUUUUUCAAACAUAGGGUACCACUCCUUAGUUGAUAAUAGCAGAACCUGAUGACUUUUCCAAUAUAGGGUCACACUCCCUAGUUGAUGCCAGCAUAACAUGAUGACUUUUCCAACAUUGGGUCCCACUCCUUAGUUGAUGCCAACAUAACCUGAUGACUUUUCCAAUAUAGGGUCUCACUCCCAAGUUGAUGCCAGCAUAACCUGAUGACUUUUCCAACAUACGGUCUCACUCCCAAGUUGAUGACAACAUAACUUGAUGACUUUUCCAACAUAUGGUCCCACUCCCUAGUUGAUGCUAGCAUAACUUGAUGACUUUUCCAACAUAGGGUCCCACUCCCUAGUUGAUGCCAACAUAAAUAUCACGCCCCAACCUCAGGAGGCACAACCUGCGCUCAAUCAUGUGAAUCCAACUUGACAAGCCUUUUGGACACUUUCUACUCAAUUCACUAUGAUCAACAAAACCAUGCUUUUAUUUAAUUAGACAGUAGGAAAGAUCGUACAUAUAAUAUUGCGAGUUCAUUUUAUAUUACAACCCUUAAUUCAUGGUUAAGUUUCCAAAAUUGCAUACAGUUACAGUUUAGAAGAACAAGAGUUUAGAAUUACAGCAUAGUCCAGUGACACAUUCAACGCCGAUACAUACCCCACACAAAAUAUCUACGGAGCCUCUAAAGAUACAAAAGAUAGUUAUGAUAAUGCAGGCAACAAGGCCCCAUCUACACCUCAAAAAGUGAUAAUUUAUAAUAAAAGAUAUAUUGCAUAACCCUUGGAAGAAAAGGGGCUCACCAAGAUUGCUGAUAGGAGGAUAUUCCGCUACCUGUGAUCGGCACUGUCUACUAUAGAACCGCCUACAUCCAUUCAAAGAUGUAGCGCCCCCUGGCAAAAGGGACGUUAGUACCAUAAAAUAGUACUAGUAUGUAUAACUAAACACCAUCUCAUUAGAAAGAACAACCAUANNNNNNNNNNNNNNNNNNNNNNNNNUAAGAAUAGAGAAAUCAUAAGGAUUAACAAAAGCUUUAAGCAAUCACCACAUCAUCAAAUAAAAGGGAUCACAUAGCUUUCACAUAAUUGCCAUAGCUUUAGGUUGGGACAUUUAAUGUUGUUACAUCAUCAUUCAUAAUACCACCGCUUUCUUGCGUAGAGUCCGAUCAUGACCCGAUCGGCUAAGUUGCCUCAUUUGAGGCAUAUACCUUAAUCACAAUUUCAUUCUCACUUUUCGGCUUCAAUAUCAACACAAUACCACCAUGUAUGCGGCAUGGCGUGUGAUCGUGGCCCGAUCGGCUAAACCGUCUUACCAAGACGUUUCCCUUUUCCAUCAAUCAUUUUACUUCAAUUUUUGUUUCACGUAUAUCAGUUCAUCGGCACUUGGGGCCACAAUUAUCACAUCAUACUUGGCAUAAGACCAUAUUUCAUAACACAAACUCUUUUCCACCACAUUUCACAUUAUUUUAAAUUUUAACAUUAACCUUGCAAUUUACGAUAAUGGGCACAUGCGAGAGCAAUUCAAGUUAUAAGCAUAGAGAGGAUUUCACAUAGUUCGGCAAAAUAACUACAAUUUAAACUUGACUUGAAAUCUAGGCAUUUUAGCACAUAGUUCACAUUCUUCACACAUCCUCAAUUUAUCAAGUAUAGCAUAUUGAACACAUUGAGACACACCUUUCACAUAUAUUCUUGCAACACAAAUUCAUUUGAAAUAACAAGCACUACAUCAAUCAAAUUUCGGACUUACAACAUUUGCAUGGACACCAAGGGAGCUCAAUUUCUAAGAAGAGGGAGUUUUAGCUAUACAUGACUCAAGAGAGCUUUCCUUAAAUUCUUACAAUAAUUUCGGAACUCCUAGCAACAACGAUCUAUUUUAUGAGAAUUACAAGUUGAACCAAAAAUUAGAGGGAUAAUCACGAUUGUAGCUCAUUUGGGCACAUUAUCAAGCACUAGGUGUGCAUUAUGAUUUUAGGACCUUUUUGUGAGAGAUUCUAUCAUCCUACACCCCAUUUGUUAUAUUUUUAGCUCAAAAUCUCCCCAUACCCUUUUAUCAUACAUGCAUGCAAGAUAAUCAAUCCUUAUACCCAUGAACCCACUUGUUAAUUACUCAUUUUAAUAGAAAUUUCGAAAUUAAAGGUUAGGGCACAAGUUCUUACCUAUUAGGAUGAAGACUUAGUAAUUUUACUUGAUAAUCUUCAAAGAUUUGGGCAAGGAUUGAAUAGUGACUUGGUGAGGAUCACUUUCUCCCUCUAGAACUCUUUCUCUCACUCUAAAUGUAGUAUAAAAUAGCAUAAGUGAGUCUAAUGGGGUGUUUUUAAUGGAAUGGGGUCGGGUUUUAAAAGUUAAAAAAUAGGAGCCCCAACUCAAUCUACAGUGGCAUAUGCGACCACAUAACUAAUAUGCGGACCGCAAAAGGGACCACAAAAGUAGCCCUCAAGACUUGAAUAUUCUGCCCGGGUAUGCGACCAAUAUGCGGUCCGCAUACCUGUUCUGCGGUCGCAUAAUACACUGCAAAACUGCCCUUCGCAAAAAUCCCAAGGAGGUUAUGCGACAACUAUGCGGCCCGCCUAUCGAUUAUGCAAUCGCAUAAUUGGCCGCAUAGUUGUCCUCAAAAUUAGCCAACAUUCUGCCUCGCUCUGGGGAGACUCUGCGAUCGACAUUGCUAUUAUGCGGCCGCAUAAUAGCCUGCAGAAAUGCGCUCUUUUGAACAACAUUUUUCCUUAACUUUUUAAUAUACAGAUCAAUCCACGAGGCCUUACAAUUACCUGAUGACUUUUCCAACAUAGGGUCCUAUUCCUUAGUUGAUGCUAGCAUAACCUGAUGACUUUUCCGACAUAGGGUCUCACUCCUUAGUUGAUGCCAGCAUAACCUAAUGACUUAUCCAACAUAGGGUCCCGCUCCUUAGUUGAUGCUAGCAUAACUUGAUGACUUUUCCAACAUAGGGUCCCACUUGAUGCCAGCAUAACUUGAUGACUUUUCUAACAUAGGGUCCCACUUGAUGCCAGCAUAACCUGAUGACUUUUCCAACAUAGGGUCCCACUCCCUAGUUGAGACCAGCAUAACCUGGUGAUUUUUCCAACCUAGGGUCUCUAACCCCUAGUUGAUUUAAUUUUAGAUAUGGGGUCUCCACUACCUAAUCUUUUUCCCAAGGAUAUAGAAUCCUGAUUUUGUUUCUUUCAAUAAUGAAGUAGCAUAUAGUUUUGGUUAGAAAUAGCUCACGAAAUUUUUCUAGUGAAAACUGCGGCAGAAAAAUUAUGUUCGUUUGUUUGUUUGGUGUCUGAGCAGGUUAUACCUCGAGAUACAAGGUUUGAGACGACAAAAGAAGAAAUCUCAGUCCAGAAUAAAAUAAAAUGAAGACAAGAAAAGAAGUGAACUCAAAGUGUAGAAGUGGAGAAAAUAUGUAAACUUCUCAAGACAUGGUUGAAGUUACAAGCUUUGCAUGUCCCGCCCUGAUCCGAAAAGCUGAAGAACAAUGAACCAGCACUUGCAGCUAACAAGCAUCAAGAUUCAGAUCAGAGUCUGCAGGAAGAACCAACCAAGACUCAAGAUCAAGCUUCAGAAGGUUUUGUAGAUAGGAAUCUUGUAACUCGUAGUUGAUAGGAUUAGUUAGUCUAGUUUUUUAUUUUGAUUUUUGUGUAAUAAGGAGAUCAGCAAGCAGAAACAGCAGCAACAACAGUGAAAUCACAGCUAUUCGGUAGUCCCAGCUACCAAAACUUCCAGAACUACACUAACCGGAUUCCUUUAUAGCCAAGGAUAUAUAGGCAACCUCCGAAGCAAGGUUCGGUCAAACUUUUUCAAAAUGCUUCUCAUGGAGUAUCCAAACGGGCAAAAAUCGCUCAUAAUUUCUUAUUAUAUCUUUGCCCGAAAACUCUUCAUGUUUCUGAGUAAAGAGGGGCAGCUGUGAGCACAUGAUUUUUGCCCGACUAGAAAUACUCCUACGAAAAAUUUAAAAAUAGUUUUAGUUUUAUAGGAUUUUGUAGGAUUUUCUUAAUUAAUUGUUUGCGCUUUUUGUACACAUUUUACAUCUUUGAAAUCAUGAAAAAUACCACAAAAAAUGUCAAAAAUUUCAUGCAUUGCAUUUUAGGUUUUGUGUUUAUACUUUAGGAUUAAAUUGUUAAUUAAUUACUUUAUUAAACAAAAAUAAAAAAAUAUUGUUCAUUUUUACAUUUCAUAGUUUCUAGUUUUAAAUUAGUAAGUUCCUCCAUUAGUUUUAAAGUUAAUUAAUUGUUCAAAUAUCAGAAAUAGUUAAUUAGGUUUAUUUCAUAAUUUAGAUUUGAUUUAGGACCUAAUCUACGUUUCUAUAUUAAUUAAUUGAGGAUUUAAAAUAAAAAAAGAGAAGAAAAUACAAAGAAAAUGAAUUAAAGAAGUGUGUCAAAAUUGGGCCAAAGCUUAAAAUGGCCCAAAUAAUGCCCAAAUCCGCCAAAAUUUAGCCCAAAUACUUAGAGAACGUCGUUUGGCUAGCGUUUGAUCUAAGCCGUUCAACUUAUUUAAUCCUACGGCUGAGAACUGGCCUCUCCACCCCUUAAAACUGUCCCCCCCCCCCCAAAACAAAUCCUAAAGACCCCCUUAUUCAGUCUCUCAUCUCUCUCACUCUAACUAACCCUAGCUGCCCCAAACCCUUCACCAUCUCCGCCGUCCCCCGCUGCCUGGAAAUCGCCUUACGACGGCGGACUACCUCCUAUCUCAUCCAAAUUCACACCAGACAACCGCCGUAAUCUCCUCAUCCUGUAUCUACUCUCAAUUUCUCCAAAAUCCCCACCCAUCUUCUCCAAUUUUAGAUCUAAAAAUCCUGAAAAACCUAAUCUUUCCUUCUUCUGAUUUCAUUGCCGGUACUAGCUCGUUUUGGCCUGAAACUUACCUCAUUGGUCAUCACAUUCUCGGCCAAAAUCAGUAUACCUUUCUCCCC
rnacentral:lncRNA from 1 species